CUCUUCGGGGAUGAUUAAACCGGCGCACGGGUGAGUAACACGUGAGUGACCUGCCUUUUAGACUGGAACAACUUACCGAAAGGUGAGCUAAUGCCGGAUGAGUUAUAUAAGUGCAUGUUUAUAUAGGAAAAGUUGGGGAGACCUGACGCUGAAAGAUGGACUCGCGUCCCAUUAGCUAGUUGGUAGGGUAAUGGCCUACCAAGGCGACGAUGGGUAGCCGGCCUGAGAGGGUGGCCGGCCACACUGGGACUGAGACACGGCCCAGACUCCUACGGGAGGCAGCAGUGGGGAAUUUUGCGCAAUGCUCGUAAGAGUGACGCAGCGACGCCGCGUGAAUGACGAAGGCCUUCGGGUCGUAAAGUUCUUUCGACAGGGAAGAAAAUGCCUAUAAGUAACUGUGUAUGUAUUGACGGUACCUGUAUAAGCAGCCCCG
rnacentral:rRNA from 1 species